rnacentral:rRNA from 1 species
UACGAAGGGGGGCUAGCGUUGUUUCGGAAUUACUGGGCGUAAAGCGCGCGCAGGCGGUCUUCCAAGUUCAGUGGUGAAAGCCCGGAGCUCAACUCCGGAACUGCCAUUGAAACUGUAAGACUUGAGGAUGAGAGAGGUGAGUGGAAUUUCCCAGUGUUAGAGGUGAAAUUCGUAGAUAUUGGGAAGAACACCGGUGGCGAAGGCGGCGACCUGGUCCGAGACUGACGCUGAGGCGCGAAGCGUGGGGAGCAAACAGG